rnacentral:tRNA from 1 species
GGCCAGGUAGCUCAGUCGGUACGAGCGUCCGCCUGAAAAGCGGAAGGUCGCCGGUUCGAUCCCGGCCCUGGCCACC